rnacentral:rRNA from 1 species
UACGUAGGGUGCAAGCGUUAAUCGGAAUUACUGGGCGUAAAGCGUGCGCAGGCGGUUAUGUAAGACAGUUGUGAAAUCCCCGGGCUCAACCUGGGAAUUGCAUCUGUGACUGCAUAGCUAGAGUACGGUAGAGGGGGAUGGAAUUCCGCGUGUAGCAGUGAAAUGCGUAGAUAUGCGGAGGAACACCGAUGGCGAAGGCAAUCCCCUGGACCUGUACUGACGCUCAUG